GCAAAAUAUCAAGACUCCGUCUCUAAAAAUAGGUAUAUUUUGCUUUGUAUGUAAAAAAAAAAAUCACUGUUCAUUUAUCACAAAACUUAAAAACACAUUAUAUUCCUAAAUUUAAUCCAAGAUCUUUCUGUAGAUGGUGGAAAAGAACUGUAGAACAGAAAAACUAGAAAACCUAGAAUUUAGUAGCAUAGUCUUAACAUGGAAGUGAUAUAUAGUGUCAUGAUUUGCUAACCCAUUCUGCUGCUGUAUGGUGUUCCUGCUGUGCUGGUUGAUUGUGGAGGAACUCGGGCAUGCAUACAUGAAUAUUGCAUGCAUUAAAUAUUUUAAUUAUUGAACUCUUGAUAUGUGUGAAUUACUUUGCAAAUAACUAGUAAUGUAAAAAUAAAUUAUAAAGAGAAAUCUGACUUUUGCUCUGUGAUAUAGAGAACUGGAGAGAAUGUUACUGUUAUCAUUAUAAUAAGAGAAUAGGAUUGAAUUAACUUCAAAUGUAUGACUUUUUUCCAAUCCAAGAGAGAUAGUAUUUCAGAACAACCAACUGACCCAAAAUCUGUGAAGAUACAGGCACCUGUAGAAAGAGAAGAAAUGUGAGCAGUCAAAUAUCUGGAUAAAUGCAAUCAGAUGUCAAUAUAAAUAGUUUACCAAAAAUAGUUAAUUCGUAGGUGAAAGCUAUGUGCAGACUGGUGGAGAGGUUAAAGCCUGUAAACACUUCAGAAGUGUAAAGAGUCUGAACUCUCCUGCAUGUUCCUUCCCAAUGAAUCUCAUGGGGUAGUCAUAGAAUAGUUAGAAAGGUCCCUUAAAAAGUCUCUAUUGUGUUUCAGACCCGAGAGAGACGAAGACUGGCCAUGCUAAAGAGAUUUUGCUGAUAAAACUUUUGGACUAACGAGGCUUCAAGAUGGCUGACUAGAAGUAUCUGGCUUUUCCGUCCUCCACAAAGAAGAAUCAAAAUAGGAUUCACAAUGCAAACAUCCUGUCCUUGAAGAAGUCCAGAGGAAACACAGAUGUGAAAGCCCACAACAUGAAAGGAACGAGGACAUACAUCCUUGGAAUCAUGAGGUGCUGUGAAAAAAAAGCCUAUGACCCUGAAGCCACUAUGUUGGAGAGACUUCAGGGAAAGGCCCAUUUGGAGAGGAGAGGCCAUCAGUCAACAGCAGGCAUCAACUACCUGACAUAGGAGGGCAGUCUUUAGAUAAUUGCACUUUGUCAUCUUUGAGUCUUCCAUCUGAGACCGCAGACAUUAUAAGGCAUAGACAAGCCACCUCUAUUGUACCCUGUUGGACUCCUUAAUCCAUAAAACCUAAAAGCAAAAUAAAUGGUUGCUUUAUAUUGUA